CUGCAAGAGUAUCUGUGUUAACAGGGGAAUUGGAGGAAUUACUGCUCUGACCAUGAGUGAAAUAUUCAGUAUUAAGCUGCUGGUAAGGCAGAUUGUGAGAGUGUUUCCUGACUUCAGUUCUCACCAACAGCUGAGACAAUAUGUGAGAAAUGGGAAAUGGGAGUGACAGGAGAGCCUGAGACACACAGAGACCAAAAGAAAUGUGCCAGAGAGUUGGCCAGCAUGGGAGAACAACCAGUACUUCCUCCCCGUUGCAUUAAAAUAAAGUGAGAUAAGAUCAGUAAA